rnacentral:lncRNA from 10 species
CGGCCGCCCAGUGCGCCGCCGUCCAGCCGCGCGCGUCCUCCGCCUCCGCUGCCGCGGGUCCCGGGCCCGGAGCCUCCAGCAGGCGCGCGGCCAGCAGCGUGUGGCCCAGGGCAGCGGCCCAGUGCAGCGGCGUGAGGCCCGUCCCGGAGCGAGCCGCCGCCGAGGCCCCGCGCUGCAGCAGCAGCUCGGCCACCCGCGAGUGUCCGUGCCAGGCGGCCUCGUGCAGCGCGGUGCGCCCCGCCCGGUCCACCGCGCCCACCGGGGCCCCUCGCUGCAGCAGGAGACGCACCAGGGGCGCGUGGCCCCGCAGCACGGCCAGGAGGAAAGCUCCGUAAGGCUGACCGGGAAAGAAGCGAGGAGCUCUGGGGGCUGGGUGGAAAGUCCCGUACUCAUCAGGGCCAGGGAGGCCACAGAAACUACCUCACGCCAGCUUCCCAGGGGUACAGCGGCUAGAAUGGACCUCGAGGAGGCCCCUCCCAAGACUCCCGUCUCCCGGGUUCCACCGCAGUGGGGGCAGCCACAGCUGCCUCUGCAAUGCUUGUA